AUGUUUUAUUAUAUUUGCAGCAAGGACCGGAGAUCAGACAGGACGAUUACUUCUAGACAACGUGACAGAGUUGCAACUGCUGCAACAAGGGUUCGUGCGAGGGAAGAUGGGGUCGAGGACUCGCAUAUCUGGGCGAGAAGAGUAGCCCCGACAGAUUCUCACAAUAGGUGGAUGAGCAGUUUGACGCACUCUGUUGUAUCCGACGUAGAUGAUCUAGAUUUGUUGUUGGAUGGACCAGAGAUCCUGAUGAUGAGCCAGUUGUUGACGAUGUCUAGGCAACAAUUUAGGAUGUAG